CCGGGCGCCGGAGCCCCGCCGUACACUGCGGUACUUCCGUCCGAGCCGUACCCGCUUCCGCCCGCGCUGCCGCUCUUCUCCCAGCUGCGGACAGCUCGCUUGGGGCCCCGACCAACUUCUGAAGAUGACUCUGAAGACUGAUGCUGGUAGAACUUUCAUACUGCAAGAAACAAACAGAAUUGCUGCAGAAAUGCUGAACUGGCAAGAACAACAUCAACAUGCAUUUGUUUUAUUCCUCUCCUUAGUAAAAUGCGUAUUGAAUAUUACUGUAGUUUUUGAAGCAUUGUUGAAUUCAAAAUCAGCUGCUGCACAGUGGAGCUCAGUAGACUUGAAAACAACUCAGCAUGUGUGCAGAUUAGAUACAUAGAAAGCAACUUUCCUUUUUAAAUUAUGCGGAUGUUGUGCUUUGUUUUGGAAGACAUCAGAUUCUGAAUAUUUAAGGAAGCUCUAUCUCCCUUUGUGUUUUCUUCUUACUGUAGUCAGACUUCUGGCUUUGUCUUACUGAGUUUUGCUCCUGUACUGGCACUAAGUGGUUAUAGGGGGUUUCAGGGGGAGGGUGGGGAUGCCCGUGUACUUAAAUAGGUUUUGUUAAGGUGUUCUUAAAUGCCUCUGUUGCUGCAUCAUAUAAGUGAUUGCUUCCAUUGUUAAUGAAUGAACAGGAGGAUAAGCAAGAUACCAUAGAGAUUGUUUGGAUUUAGGCUUAUAUGAAGACUAUUAUUUAACUCAAAAAGCAAUAAGAACUUGCAGUGGUCUUUUAAUACUUGGUGAUGGCUUUUUUAUGUACCAGUUUGGAAAUCUGAGAUUAUAUUUGAUAUCAUGUGGCUGUUCCAUUAUGGAAAUUGCAGGUGUAAACUCUUGCAUUUCAGCAUUCCUGGCAGAUAUGCAACUUGAUAAAGACUUCAGGUUGUUCAGUUUAAUCAGACUUUUUUUAGAUCCCACCCUCACUGUUCAAAGUGCCGGUUAUCAAUGUGUUUUCUAGUGUUGUCACUUCUUUAUAAAUAAAGAUGAAAGAGGUAUGCA